CCAAUGAAACGGCAAACUUACUGAAAGGUAAGGACGCAAAGCUCCAGACCUACAGGUAGAAAUUACUAUGGUGGCUGAGUUACCAAA
rnacentral:ncRNA from 1 species